GGAGAGGUGGCAGAGCGGUUGAAUGCACCGGUCUUGAAAACCGGAGGGUCCGCAAGGGCCUCGCGAGUUCGAAUCUCGCCCUCUCCG
rnacentral:tRNA from 1 species